rnacentral:tRNA from 1 species
GAGGCUGUAGUUCAGUGGCAGAGCACUUGCCUAGUAUGCAUGAGCUACUGGGUUUGAUCCUCAGCACCCCA